GACGAACGCUGGCGGCGUGCUUAACACAUGCAAGUCGAACGGAAAGGCCCUGCUUUUGUGGGGUGCUCGAGUGGCGAACGGGUGAGUAACACGUGAGUAACCUGCCCUUGACUUUGGGAUAACUUCAGGAAACUGGGGCUAAUACCGGAUAGGAGCUCCUGCUGCAUGGUGGGGGUGGGAAAGUUUCGGCGGUUGGGGAUGGACUCGCGGCUUAUCAGCUUGUUGGUGGGGUAGUGGCUUACCAAGGCUUUGACGGGUAGCCGGCCUGAGAGGGUGACCGGCCACAGUGGGACUGAGAUACGGCCCAGACUCCUACGGGAGGCAGCAGUGGGGAAUAUUGCACAAUGAGCGGAAGCCUGAUGCAGCAACGCCGCGUGCGGGAUGACGGCCUUCGGGUUGUAAACCGCUUUCGCCUGUGACGAAGCGUGAGUGACGGUAAUGGGUAAAGAAGCACCGGCUAACUACGUG
rnacentral:rRNA from 1 species